GAUGAACGCUGGCGGCGUGCUUAACACAUGCAAGUCGAACGGUGAAGACGAGGCUUGCUCGGGGGGUUCAGUGGCGAACGUGUGUGAAACACGUGAACAACCUGCCUCUCACUCGGGGAUAAGCGCUGGAAACGGUGUAUUAUACGGUAGAAGUGCCUACCCCACGGUGUCUGCGGGUGAGAAGUUUCUUCGGUGGGGGAUGGGCUCGCCGCCUAUCAGCUUGGUGGUGAGGUAAUGGCUCACCAAGGCGUCGACGGGUAGCCGGCCUGAGAGGGUGACCGGCCACACUGGGACUGAGACACGGCCCAGACUCCUACGGGAGGCAGCAGUGGGGAAUAUUGCACAAUGGGCGCAAGCCUGAUGCAGCGACGCCGCGUGAGGGAUGACGGCCUUCGGGUUGUAAACCUCUUUCAGUAGGGAAGAAGCGAAAGUGACGGUACCUGCAGAAGAAGCACCGGCUAACUACGUG
rnacentral:rRNA from 1 species